UACGGGGGGAGCAAGCGUUGUUCGGAUUUACUGGGCGUAAAGGGCGUGUAGGCGGGAAGGAUAGUCAGAUGUGAAAGCCCUGGGCUCAACCCAGGAACUGCAUUUGAAACUCCCUUUCUUGAGUGUCGGAGAGGAAAGCGGAAUUCCUGGUGUAGAGGUGAAAUUCGUAGAUAUCAGGAGGAACACCGGUGGCGAAGGCGGCUUUCUGGACGACAACUGACGCUGAGACGCGAAAGCGUGGGGAGCAAACAGG
rnacentral:rRNA from 1 species